UUCUUCUAAAGCUACUACCUUUCUUUCUCUUAUCACAUCUCUAUUUUUCAAAGAGAGAAGGAGAUUUCCGGUACACCGAAAUUCUUGUUUUGUAAUAUAGUUUCCGGCUAAGAUCCGAAUCUUUCUACCGGCUAAGUCCGGUUUUCUUUCUCGCUAAAAAGCGAGAUAAAGAUCUCUCAUCCAUUUACGUUUUCUGUUAAUUUCGUGGGAGGAGCCUUGGGCUCUGACCGCGUGCCUGUUGAAGAAUAAGCCGGCGACUUCUCCGAUAAUCCUUUGCAAGUAUUCUUUGUUUCUUCAACUACUCGAGGAGUAAUAUCUUUGUCACUUUUAUUUUUUCAUAUCAUAGGAGCAAAGCAAAUAAUUACAUCAAAAUAUGGAUGUAAUCGUUGGUGGAGCUUCCCCGAAGUUGAUGAUUCUCGAAGAAGAUUUGAAGAGGUUUCAUAUAUUUGAUCUUGUAGACUUCGACGCAUCCUUUGAUUGGAUUUGAGAUUGGCAGAAGGGAGAAAGAUUUUCAUCACCCUAUGGCUAUUUGAUGGUGGCUAAUCGGAUUCCGGUGAUGUUGGAGAAGAACAGACGGUGGCGACGUGGAACUACUUCAAUUUGAUGCGUGGUUUAGAGAAGAUACUUCAUCUACAGGUGUCUUAUGCUAAACCAUAAAUGUUUUUAUAUUAUCUUUUGUAAUUUUUUUUUAUGGUUUACAUUGGGCCUUUUAACUUUCGUCUGUAAUUCUCUAGUUAUAACUCUUUUGUAUCUGCAUGCCCAUUGGGCUUACGCUUAAACUAAUAAAACUUUUCGGCGACAAAAAAAAAAUACUUAUUUCUUCGAUAUCUCUUACCAGAAUUUGACUCCAAUAAUUUAUGUUAACAUACAACAUGACCUGAAUAAAUGGGCAUUUAUAUGAAAUAAUAUAUAAAUCCUACUUUGAAAUCGAUCCAUUUUAACCCACAAAUAAAAGCUUAUAGCUUUAACUGUAGUAAUCAAGCUAGCACUUGAGAUGUCACUACAACAUAUUAAUUUGAAAAUAAAACUUUUCUAAUUUUUUAAAUAUUUUCGGCACGAGCUUUUUCUUUUAAGUAAGGUUGGUCAGCUGCCCAUUUUCAUACUCUAAGUAAACUUAUAGUUCAUAAUCAUACAUAAACUAAGGAAAUAUAUGGAAAAAAAAAUGGGAAAAAUGCCAUAAAAAUCCUGGAGAGUACGAUUUCGUUGAUUUAAAUCCCGAACUCUCCAACUGUUGAUUUAAAUCACAAACUUUAUGUUGACUCUCUCUUUAAUAUGAAACUUUAGUUGACUUUGCCAAUUUAGGCACAUCUUUAAAACGCCAAACGGAGCAAUUAAACGAGGUUAGAUGUCGUUAACGAAAUCCGUCAAAUAUGAAAUGAAACCGUUUUUAACAUAACCCAAACACUUAAUCGAUUCAACUUUCUGUUAAGUGUUUUGGGGAAAAAGUUGAAUCGAUUAAGUGUUUGGGUUAUGUUAAAAACGGUUUUAUUUUGUAUUUGACGGAUUUCGUUAAUGACAUUCAAACCCGUUUAAUUGCUCCGUUUGGCGAUUUAACGAUGUGCCUAAAUUGGCAAAGUCAAUUAAAGUUUCAUAUUAAAGAGAAAGUAAACAGAAAGUUUGUGAUUUAAAUCAACAGUUGGAAAGUUCGGGAUUUAAACCAACGAAAUCGUACUCUCCAGGAUUUUUAUGGCAUUUUUCCCAAAAAAAAAUACUCUAACUUACAUGUUAUUUAUAUCAAGGGAUUUAUGGAGUGUUCUAUAGCAUGUUCUUGGGGUUCUAGCAUAGAUAAGGAGAGAUUCAUGGUCGUUGGUGUUAGGAGGUGUGAGACCCUAGUUUACGGAGAUGUUUAAUUGAAUUGAUUUGAUCACCUAUGUCACCAAAGUGCAUUAAUCAUUUCGGUCAAAGGCCCCAAGAGCAGAGAGUGAGAAAUAGAUCUUUUGGUGCCUUUGAGUGAGUUUUUGGAGAGGUUGAAGCUUCUUCUUGGUGGUUCAAGGCUAGAGGAGGUUAGAUCCGUGGUGUGUGGUGUUAGGAGAGCUUGUUUCGUCCCUCUUUGAUGGAGCGGAAGCUUCUAGGGAUAGGACUAGAGAUCCGUUGAUUCUCAGAAUACCCGGAAAUCUAGGGUUUGAGAGUCCUCCUCUCAGGGCUUUCGCAAAAGCUCUUGGAUUUGUGAAUACUCUUCACAGUGGUUUAUUAAAACCUCUUUAAAUCUUUCGAUUAAUCAAUAUAUCAAAUAACUGAAUACAAUAGGAGGCUUAAGAAGCCUAUUUAUAAUAAAGCAUAAAACCCUAAAACUAAGAAUAUUCUAGAAUAAUUAUAAUAAAUAAAUUAAGAGAUAAUAAUAAGAGAUAUUUGGAAUAUCUCGCUGCAUCAGGUCUCGCCGGCCAAGAAAAGAUUCGUCCUCGAAUCUUGUAUCUGCGCUGCAUCAGCUCCCGCCGGCCAAGAAAGAUUCGCCCUCGAAUCUUCAGCAGAUUUUUUAGCAAAAGUGAUCUUUGUAGAUCCAUCUUUAUCUCUGUCGGUUGAUUUAGCUCGAUUUUUGCACAAUCCCGGUUUGAUCCGAAAUUUGCACGAACUGUAACUGACCCAAAAUUUGCACGAACCGGAUCUGACCCGAAAAUUGCACGAACCGGAUCUGACCAAAAUUUCGCACAAAUCACCUCCUCGACGGAUGUACAGGUCGGAACUUGCAUGAAACUUACACAAAUCGGUGGUUUCAUGAUUUCUGCAGAAAACCCGAAUUUUGCACGGAUCUGAUUUCGCCCGAACUUUGCACAAAUAAGAUCUUCUUCAUAAACAUCAUAGAUCGGAUCACCAACAAUUUCUCUGUAGAUCUGGUGGUUCUCCUCUCUCUCGAUAAAAGGACUUUCGUCCAUGAUAGGGUAGAUGCAAUCACUUGCCAUGUGAUAACCAGAAUCGUUCAUUGAUUUAGAAAUCAAAGAGACGCAGCUCUGAUACCAAAUGAUGGAGCGGAAGCUUCUAGGGAUAGGACUAGAGAUCCAUUGAUUCUCAGAAUACCCGGAAAUCUAGGGUUUGAGAGUCCUCCUCUCAGGGCUUUCGCAAAAGCUCUUGGAUUUGUGAAUACUCUUCACAGUGGUUUAUUAAAACCUCUUUAAAUCUUUCGAUUAAUCAAUAUAUCAAAUAACUGAAUACAAUAGGAGGCUUAAGAAGCCUAUUUAUAAUAAAGCAUAAAACCCUAAAACUAAGAAUAUUCUAGAAUAAUUAUAAUAAAUAAAUUAAGAGAUAAUAAUAAGAGAUAUUUGGAAUAUCUCGCUGCAUCACUCUUAGUCUCUGUUUCGUUGUUGUUCUUCUAGAUUCAAAGGUGAGUGCAUGACCAAGGCUUAUCUAAGCAGUUUUAAUGCAUGUUUUGGCGUUCCUUUGAUUGAUGAUUGAUUUCUUUGCUUGUAUGCUUGUUUUCUAUGAUAUGGGGACUUUGGACGAGCCUGAGGAAGUGUUAUUUCGGCCAUGGAGUGCAAGGAAGGGGAGACUUAUUGAUGAGAAGCGACUGGAGCAAAGUUAGGGCUUUGGUGUCGAUCGACACCAGUGGAAGGUGUCGAUCGACACUACUCGUCAUAUUGGGUUUUAUAUUGAUUGUUCAUGGAUUGUUGAUGCUUGUGAUGGUUAAUGCUUGAAUGUGUUUCAUUAUUGCUUGUGUGUAUAGCCAGUAGUGGGAUGAAUGCCUCACUAAGUAUUUCUAGAAAUACUUAUGCAUCUCUUUUCCUGAUGCAGGUAAAGGAAAAGUGUGACCGUGGAAUCAAGGCGUGGAGAACGGGAUGAUCUAGGGACUCGUUGGUUGUCUCUGUAUUAUUGUUUGAAUGGUUAGGUUGUUAGUCCGGAACUUAGAAACAUGUCAGGUUGUUAUUUCUAUUUUUGGAUGAUGAAUGUUUUGGUUAUGGUUGAGAUGCAAGUUUAAUGCAAUUAAAUUAUUUGG
rnacentral:lncRNA from 1 species